UACCAGCAUAUUUUGUUUUUGUUUCAGAUUUCCAGCAUCCAUAGUCUUUUGCUUUUGCAUAGUUAGACUGGUGUACCACAAGGAUCGGAACUGGAACUACUGUUGACUUUGUUUGCUUCUGAUCUUCUGUCGUGUUCCAAACCUGAAUUGCUGUGAUGAAGGAUUUCACCACUGGGGAAUGUAACUGACUCGUUUUCAUUUGCUGAAUAGUUUUUUGUUUGAGUUGAACCAAGCAUCAGUCACUAAUUUACU